rnacentral:rRNA from 1 species
UACGGGGGGGGCAAGCGUUGUUCGGAAUUACUGGGCGUAAAGGGUCUGUAGGUGGCCAACUAAGUCAGACGUGAAAUCCCUCAGCUUAACUGGGGAACUGCGUCUGAUACUGGAUGGCUUGAGUGUGGGAGAGGAAUGCGGAAUUCCCGGUGUAGCGGUGGAAUGCGCAGAUAGUCAGGAGGAACACCGAUGGCGAAGGCAGGUCUCUGGGCCAUUACUGACACUGAGAAGCGAAAGCAUGGGGAGCGAACAGG